UUAGCUAAUAGUUUAACAGGUUAAUAGAUUAAUUAGCUAAUGGUUUAACAGGUUAAUAGAUGAAUUGGCUGAUGGUUUAACAGGUUAAUAGAUGAAUUGGCUGAUGGUUUAACAGGUUAAUAGAUGAAUUGGCUAAUGGUUUAACAGGUUAAUAGAUGAAUUAGCUAAUGGUUUAACAGGUUAAUAGAUGAAUUAGCUAAUGGUUUAACAGGUUAAUAGAUUAAUUAGCUAAUGGUUUAACAGGUUAAUAGAUUAAUUAGCUAAUGGUUUAACAGGUUAAUAGAUUAAUUAGCUAAUGGUUUAACAGGUUAAUAGAUUAAUUAGCUAAUGGUUUAACAGGUUAAUAGAUGAAUUAGCUAAUGGUUUAACAGGUUAAUAGAUGAAUUAGCUAAUGGUUUAACAGGUUAAUAGAUGAAUUAGCUAAUGGUUUAACAGGUUAAUAGAUGAAUUAGCUAAUGGUUUAACAGGUUAAUAGAUGAAUUAGCUAAUGGUUUAACAGGUUAAUAGAUGAAUUAGCUAAUGGUUUAACAGGUUAAUAGAUGAAUUAGCUAAUGGUUUAACAGGUUAAUAGAUGAAUUAGCUAAUGGUUUAACAGGUUAAUAGAUGAAUUAGCUAAUGGUUUAACAGGUUAAUAGAUGAAUUAGCUAAU